AUGACUUCUUACUGCUUGGCCAGAGCAUACGGGGUGGCCGCUCUGCUUAGGGAUGGGGGCUGGAGGCCCCCUUCUCGCCCUUUAUACUUGUCAUGGAGGAGAGUGAGGAACGCUGAGUGGAUGGCUGUUCAGUACGGUGAGUCCUCCUGGGUACCUGGAGGGGGUGAGAGGCCUGCAACAGACCCAAGAGCAAGGCGAGGCACGGCCUCCUCCUGCCACACUCAUUCCAGAGGAAUCUUGCUCCCAGGUCAAGGAAGAAACUUGACUGAGCAAGGAGGCUUCAGAGGAAACCUCCUGUGGGUGCAGCACAGCUUGCCCUUCUCCAAAACCGUGGGGUCUGCAGUGGCAGGAAACGCACCACCCAACCUCAACAUGUCACCUCGGGGAGGAGGAGCCAGGUGGGUCGGCGCCCCUCCAGGAAGGGCUGCCGGGGCUUCGGGGCCUCCCCGAGGGGAGAGCGGAGCACUAGGACCAGGCCCGCGGGGUUCGGUACCCGGGGCUCUGGGGUGCGGAGCCGCGCCGGGGCAAUUUCGGGUUCCUGAGGGUGGGGGCGUCGGUGCCCGGCGGCGGGCGGGCCGUCAGCUGCCCGGCCCGUCGCCUCCCUCCCCGCCCCCCGGCUUCCUGCGGAGGCCGCGGCCGCCAUGUUGUUGUGGGGCUGAGGCGGCGCCGCGGAGCCCGAGCGGCCGUGACAGGCUGCGCAACAGGUUCGCUGUCCGCGGCCUGAAGACGAAGCAGGCGCGGCGGCGGCGGCGGCGGCUGCCGAGCAGGGUCUCCCGGCGUCCGUCCGCGCCCGCGCUGCUGGUGCCGAGGGGCGCGGGGUCGCGCUGUGACGUGCGGGAGGCGCGGCGGGCGCGCCAGGUGGGUGAAGGCGCUCGCAGGGGCUGCCGCAGGGCGCCGGGCAGGUGCGGGCGCCGCCGCGUCCGCUGCGGGGAGGCUCGCGGGCCGGCCCGGGGGCCGGGCUGGGAGGCGGCUACGCGCCCCGCACGACGCGGACUGCCCUCGGGAGCCUGGGCGGCCCCCAAGCUAGGCCCCUGGCGGGCUUGGCGGCGCCUGGCGGAAACCUCCGGCCGUGGGUUCCUGUCCCCGCGCGGGCCAGGGCGGACAGUGAGGGGCCGGGACCGCGCUGCCCCUUAUCGCGGCCGAGCCCCGGCCCCUGGCCGCGGCCUCUCCUGGCAGGUGCGGACGCCGCCGAGGUUCGGGAGCGGCGUGGCCCCUGGCUUUCCGCGAGCUUCCUUGGGGCCCCAUUUUAUUUUCACGGAGUUGGUUUUCCUUCUUGGUAACGGUUGGUGCGGAGGGUCAGAUGGCUGA
rnacentral:lncRNA from 1 species